UUCUGUGGAAAACUCAGCCAGAAGCUAGUAAGUGUCAAGUGAAUCCACAACAUCACCACCAAAUGUAUUUUCAAGCCAGGUAUCGUUUGAGAUACUAGCUAGUGGUGUUAUAAUGUCACAAUUUAUUAAAUAGAUAGAUGAUCUGCUCUAUAAAAGGUUUUAAAUAGGUAACGUUAGUUAUGUAGACUAUGUUAGCUAGCUACUGUUAUGGCAGCUAGGUUCAUGUAAACAUGCAGUGGACGGGCUAUUUUGAAAAUAUUAUUAUAUUAAAUGAAUGCACAAUGAAUUCUGAGAAUAUUUUUGUAGAUUACAAUUUUAAUGGUUUGGCAUUAUAAGUAGUGUGAAAAUAUAUUUAGAAAUGUUCAUGGAUAACAUUAGGAGUGGAGAGAAAGGAGAGGAGGAAGACUGGAUAGGAAGAAGACACAGAGGAGGAAAGAUUGGAGAGGAAGGAGAAUGGAAGAUUAAGGGAGUAAAAAGAGUGAAGCAAGGAGAGUGUAGAAGAGUGAGGUGGAAAGGUGAAGAGAAGGACAGGAAGACGAGUGAAGAAAAGAGGAGGAGAAAGAUUGGAGGAGAAGAACAAGUUAAGAGAGUAAGAAGAGUGACACAAGGAGAGUGUAGAAGAGUGAGGUGGAAAGGUGAAGAGAAGGACAGGAAGACGAGUGAAGAAAAGAGGAGGAGAAGAACAAGUUAAGAGAGUAAGAAGAGUGACACAAGGAGAGUGUAGAACAGACAGAGGAGAUACAGAUAAUCUAAAAGAUUCACAUGGUCUCCUUUUAAAAAGGCAACCUCUGCGUGAAGAGAUCCAGAAGGCAGCAGGCACACUGCAGGAAAAAUGCCCCCAUGUGACCAUCAAUGAGGAUGUAUUGUGUAACGAGGUUACUGGCCUGCAAGAGUUCCUAAAGGGGGGGAUCGCUUGAAGAAUGGAAAACAUCUGAGACACGGCUUAGUCAAAGAUGGAGCACGGUGGUUACCCACUUCAAAGACAACGACAUCCCACACACUAACCUGGCUAGAUUAGCGUCUGUUGUCAUCUGCUUACCUGGAAGUAAUGCACCAGUUGAGAGAGUGUUCUCCCAAAUGAAUGACAUAUGGACGGCAGCAAGAAAUAGGUUCACUGUUCCUGCCAUCAAGGCCAUGCUUAUUGUGAAGACAAACUUCAACCUCCCCUGCCAGGAGUUAAUGGAGAAGCUGGCCAAAGACAGAGCAAUCCUGAAUAAGAUACAUUCUUCUGAGAAAUAUACAGAUUAGACUACCAGGACCACUGAAUGGCUGUUCAGAUCAGUUCUACCCAGACUACCAGGACCACUG